UUCAACGAGUGUGGAAAUGGCUUCUGGAAUACCUAACUCUUGACGUAGCUUGGGAUUGUUUCGAAGCUCCUUGUAAAAGAGGAUAAAAGCAGAAGAAGGUUUUUUAGGAACAUCUGGAUGACGAAGUCUGUAAUAGCGACUGCCCGUGCUGUGAGCCUCCUUCGAGCGACGACGAUUUUCACUAUCGAUUUCUGUAGGUGUAAAGGAUCGUAGAGUCUCCAUAAAACGCUUUUUCUCAGCAUCGAACUGCUCCUGGAGUUUGUUUUUAUACUUUUGGAUCUCAUCGGCAGUCAAAGCUUUGUAUUUUUGACGAAUCAUCUCAAAGCGCUCAGGACCAUUACCAGCACCUUUUGUUUCAACCAACAUUUGAUUCCAAAUGGUUUUCAGCCUAGGGGGGAUCAACUUCUGUAAUCCAUUCUUUUCGGCAGAAACGAGAGUAGUGUGAAACUGGCGUAUUCUAAUUGCAAAUACCAUUUUGUGAAAAAUGAUCAAAGAUAAUGGUGCUUGGUAAGUUAGGUAAGGAGGCAUUGCGUCAAACAGACGCAUUCAAGUACUGAGUAAAUAUCGGGUACGUAAUAUUGUACAACAGACAAAUGAGUAGUAAAAAGACGGUUUACUCAAUUUUUAAUAGCAUAGAAUAAAGGCGUUAAAAGCAGUUUGUUUGUUUCUUGUAACCACAAAGGUAGUUUCUUUUUCUAAGUGAAACACUUCGACAUUCAACAUAACAAAGCGUUGGUCCACAGAAUCAAAAAGGUACUCCAAAAUGAAAAGGAAACAAACGCAUCUUCAUCUCUUGAGCAACAAAACAGCACUCAUUUCUAUACUUUUUCCAACCUUCCUUAUAUACCGUACCUCCCAGCACUCUCAUAUUCAUUACUCACCAUAGACUAUAUUG